GUGAACGUAGCCUGGCUUUCUGUAUGUUACAGCCUGACGAAGAAGCGAGAGGAAAUGCGCACAGGAUGUGGGAUCUCAUUCUGUAAGACUUUUCUGAGGUUUGGUUCAGUCUGGUCAGCUCUCAAAAUAUGUGCUGACAAACAGAAGAGGGGCCACUAAAUGGGGACACUGGCAGGGAGUGUAAUGCACGAUGAAGAUUUUAAAAAGGAUUUUAUGUUAUGUGUUGCAGCUUCUCCAGCAGAUCGAGAAGAGCGCCGGAUUUGGUGUUUAUAAAAUCAAGGGCAGA